rnacentral:rRNA from 1 species
GAUAAACGCUAGCGGCAGGCUUAACACAUGCAAGUCGAGGGGCAGCAUAGAUUGUAGCAAUACAAUUGGUGGCGACCGGCGCACGGGUGCGUAACGCGUAUGCAACCUACCCGUCACAGGGGGAUAAUCCGGAGAAAUCUGGUCUAAUACCCCAUAACAUAUGGAUCGGCAUCGGUUCAUGUUGAAAUUUUCGGAGGUGACGGAUGGGCAUGCGUAGCAUUAGCUUGUUGGUGAGGUAACGGCUCACCAAGGCGACGAUGCUUAGGGGGACUGAGAGGUUUUCCCCCCACACUGGUACUGAGACACGGACCAGACUCCUACGGGAGGCAGCAGUGAGGAAUAUUGGUCAAUGGGCGCAAGCCUGAACCAGCCAUGCCGCGUGCAGGACGACGGCUCUAUGAGUUGUAAACUGCUUUUGUACGAGGGUAAAGUGGGUUACGUGUAACCUUUUGAAAGCAUCGUACGAAUAAGGAUCGGCUAACUCCGUGCCAGCCGCCGCAGUAA